CACAGUGACUGCCCUGGCUUUCUUUGCUUUGCCUCCUGUCUGUGUUUGAAAUCCCGAAAUCACCGCCUUGAGCUCUGAAGCCCAGCGGCUCCGAGGCUGCAAGCCUCUCCGCUGGCCCCAGAUGUGCAGCAUGCAGCUUGAAUCUCUGAGGACUCUGGUGGUGGAUGCCAACUCCAACUCACAGUGGGAAUCUGGCCCACAGGACCCAGCCUGCCACCCUCCAGGGAGCCGUGGAGAUUUCAGGAUUUCUCCUCUGCGAAAUGGGGAUAACAGCUCCCUCUUCAUCCGGUUAUGGUCAGGGCUGACCUAAGGGGGCUGAGGGUGAAGGCCACAGGCUGAGAAGCUCUUGCCAGUGGUCAGUGAGGAGCAGCAAAUUCGGGUCUUGGCACUUGAACUGUGGGAGGAUCAAUGCUGCUUGAAGCCAUCGGUUUCUGGGAAUUUGUCACAGCAGCCCAGGAAACACAUGCAGAAGGUUUGGAGAUUGGUCUUUCCGAUGACUAGGGUGCUUUGUGCCCAUUUCAACACUCUCUGCCCUCAGUGGCACAUUCAGACCACGUUGACUUGGGCAAUGGUGAGGGAAAUGCAAAGGUGAGCCAAAAAUACCUGGUCUCUGUCUUUGGGGGGACUUAAAACAACAGCAGCUCAUUCUGUCGCAGUCCAAGAGGCCAGAAGUCCAGAAUCACGAUGCCAGUGGGGCUGGCCCCUCUAGGGGCUCCAGGGAGAAUCUCCAGCAUUUCUCUCCUGGCCUGGUGGCUGCUGGCUCCUCUGGCGAUGUGUGGCAUGUGGACGCGUCACAGAGAUCGGCAGGCAGAUCUCUGCCUCUGUCUGUGCAUGGUCUUCCUCUCCCUGUGUGACUCUCUGUGUCUUCACUUGGGCUUCUCACAGGGACACCAGUCACUGGAUUUAGGGUGCACUCAAAUCCAGUAUGACCCAUCCGAACUCAUGACAUUUGAAAAGACCCUUUUUCCAAAUAUGGUCACAUCUGAGGUCCCAGGUGGAUAUGAAAUUUGGGUGACACUGUGCAACCCAGUACCAUCCCUUUUUUUUGAGACGGAGUCUUGCUCUGUCACCCAGGCUGGAGUGCAGUGGCGCGA
rnacentral:lncRNA from 1 species